GGCAAGACAGCUGGUGUUGUGAAUCAGGCCGCCGCAGUCCAAGGACCGGCUACUUCCCAACACCAGGGUCUAUCCC